GUGCUUUGCUUAAAUUUCUCAGCCCUCAGGCUCUUCCUAAGGAUACCUCCACUGAUGAAGCUACACCAUCAACGUCAUCCUCAACAUCAACAGAUGCAUCACUUCUCAGUGCUGAUGUCUCCUCUAUAGCACAAGCUACACCGUCAAUAGCAUCUCACACAGUGGAAGCCACUGCAUCCAGAACAGAAAUUGAGUCUGCACCACUUCCCAACACUGAGGUUACCUCUAC